GACGAACGCUGGCGGCGUGCCUAAUACAUGCAAGUCGAGCGGACUGAUUAAGAGCUUGCUCUUAUGACGUUAGCGGCGGACGGGUGAGUAACACGUGGGCAACCUGCCCUGUAGAUCGGGAUAACACCGAGAAAUCGGUGCUAAUACCGGGUAAUAUCUGAGAUCACAUGAUCUUAGGUUAAAAGAUGGCUCCGGCUAUCACUACAGGAUGGGCCCGCGGCGCAUUAGCUAGUUGGUAAGGUAAUGGCUUACCAAGGCGACGAUGCGUAGCCGACCUGAGAGGGUGAUCGGCCACACUGGGACUGAGACACGGCCCAGACUCCUACGGGAGGCAGCAGUAGGGAAUCUUCCGGAAUGGACGAAAGUCUGACGGAGCAACGCCGCGUGAGUGAUGAAGGGUUUCGGCUCGUAAAGCUCUGUUGUUAGGGAAGAAACAGUACCGAACGAACUAGGUCGGUACCUUGACGGUACCUAACCAGAAAGCCACGGCUAACUACGUG
rnacentral:rRNA from 1 species